AUAUUAUAGGGUAAUUAAGACACUGCACUUUAGAGGUAAACUACCAGGUUUUUGAAUCAAAGUCUCACUACUAGGUAUAGUUAUUAUUGUCAUUAAUAUUAGAAUAAUACUUAAUGUCCACAGUCAAUCUAGAUAGUUUCAUGCAUCGCAGUUUCUUCAUCUAUAAAGAUAAUUGGAGUAACUAUUUCAUGAUCUCUUAGCAUGAAUUAAAUGAGUUAUUGCAAAGAUAAUGCAAGUAGAGCAACAAGUACACUACAUACAAAGAGUAAUCGAUGUAAGUUAUUAUCUUUAAUUAUAAAGUAGAACUUAGACAAUACUUAAAAGGCAAAACAAAGAAAAAUCACUCCGUGCCUACCAUCCACACAUAGUCUUUUGAAGGCUAUAGAAUGCUUCCUUUCAAGACACUUUUAGGAAGUUUCUCUUAAGAGCAUAUUCUAGCAGGGUUGUAAUCACAGUCAUAUAUACAGUUUACCACCAAUUUUACAAUUUCUGUUGCUACCUGAGCAUAUUUAAUGUUCUCACAUAGGCUUCAAAAACCUCCUUAUCCACUACAAAAUAUUAAACAGUUUUACUGUUUGUGGAGCUGGGUUUUUAGACCAAUUUUAACAUUUCAUUUCAAUAUAUAAUGUGGCUAAAGAGCUUUGUACAGCAAGUGGUUUCCAUAUUUAGGAUGGAGUAUUUCUUUGAUCCCGUAUUAACUUGUGGUAAUUGAUCUAAGACCCCUGUUUGUAUAUUCUUUACAUUCUUUCCAGUUCUCUUUCGGUUCCACUUAGUGGCUAAUAAAAUCUUUUGCAGUAGUCUAGCCUGACUUAGGUAUGGCAAGGAAGAAUGGGGGAGGGAGUGUUCCUUCUUGGGAAAGACAUUUUAUCUCCCCUUUCACAGACUUUUGGCUUCUGGUUUUUUCCACCAUGAAGGAUGCUCUGCAAAAUUAUUUUCAGUGCUUUUAAGCCAACUGUGGGUCAUUGUUAUUUGCAAAGGAGGAGUACCAUUCGUGUCUUUAUUUUGGUAGCCAUGCCUUAAAGAUAUUAACCUCACGUUUGAGUCCUACUUUUUAAGUUAAGUAUAAAAGUUGACGUUUAUGUAUGUUUAAUCUUAUUUUUGGCUUGUAAUUCUUUGGGAUUUAAAAAAUACAUAAUUCUGUUUUUCAGCACACUAUCUGUUGUCCUAGUGUGUUACAUUUGCAAAUUCGAUGAGGAUAUUUUCUGUAUUCCCAACCAUAUUUCGAAUUAGUGUAUUAUACUGAUUACAUUGAAGUAUAAACUGUGAAGGGAACCUCCUAGGGGACCCCCCCAUUGUCCUUAUUCCAGACUGUUGGCCACUAUUCAACAGUUAUCAACCUUGUGGUAAAGAUUUUAUGGGAAACCUUAUUGGAUAUCUUACUAAAAUAAAAAUAUAACAAUGUCGUGUCCAAGAUGUACCAGUUAUAUCUCCAAAGCAGAUAUGGCAUUAGAUUGAUUUGAUUUCAAUUAAUGAAACUAAAAUGGUUUUUAGGAUCUGAAAUUCCCUCUUCUAAGUAUUCACAAGCCCAUUAUUAUUAUUAUUUAUUGCUUUCUUAUUAUGCCUUACCUCAGUCCAAAAUUGAUUUGUGGUGAAUUUUAAAAGAUAUUGCUUCGUAUAUGUUCUAGGAAUGUUGCCAGUAAUUUGAUUCACACUGUUUAAUCUGGACAGACCUCAUAAAAGGAAAUGAGUCUUGAGCUAUGCUUUGAGGAGGAAAAGACACAUAGUUCUCUAAGCUUAGUCAGAAAAUAUAUUUCAGGAAGGGUGAACAAAAUGGGUUCAGUGGAGUCCAGGCAUGUGAGUAAGUAAGUUAUUUUCAAAGGAUAACCCUUUCCCUCGCUGUAGUAUUUUAAGUAACUGCUGCAUAUCCUUUAUUCUUUAGUAUUGAUCAAAAAUUUUAAUAGUAGUAAAAAUGCCAGAAAAGUUUCAUUAUAAUUAUAUACUUUAGACAACCUCAAAAGUAAAGAGUGGGACUUACCUGGGGGUCCAGUGGCUAAGACUUUGCCUUCCAAUGCAGGGGGUACAGGUUCGAUCCCUGGUCAGGGAGCUAAGAUCCCCCAUGCCUCAUGGCUAAAAAACCAAAACAUAAAAAUAAAAACAGAAGCAAUAUUGUAACAAACUCAAUAAAGAAUUAAAAAAUGGUCCACAUCAAAAAAAAUGUAAAUAAAAACUUUAAAAUUUGAAAGUGUUUAUCUCAUUUUUCAGAUGAAGAAACUGAGGUCUAGGUAGGUUAAGUUAUUUGAUGGGAGUCACACCAGUGGUAUAGACUAGAAACAGAAUGGAAACCUACUUCUGGCUCUCUUCAGAUUUCUACAAUGCUCCACUUACUACUACAAAACAAUAUGCAAGUAUUUGUCUUCUGAAAUGAGAUGAUGAAAAAAAUGUCUUAUAGGCAUGUAUCUAUGUGUUUUUAUUUACUCAUUUAUUUAUUUUGGAUUUAGGUGUCAUUAGGUCUUUCUGUACCCAAGGUUUUGUUUAAUGAAAGGUUUAGCAAAGUAGGUUAAGCAUUCCUAGGAGAUUAUCAAUCUGAUUAGCACUUAGAGAAAGGACAACAGAACAAAAACACAUUUUUAAUUACUUUAUUUUUAUCUUUCGGAUACCAUGUAAAAUUUUUAGGAUUACUUUAAUCUUAGAUUUUGGGAGGUUGUUUGCUCCAUUUUCAAUUAAGGUCACAAAUGAUACUUUAGCUUUUUGUUGCUGCUGCCGCUCAGUUUUGGGCAGAGAGUAGGUGUUGAUUUAUAGUCCUGCUUUAUGUGUGAGUGUGCGUGUGUCUGUGUGAAGGUGUGUGUAAUAAAAAUUGUAGUGGCUUGCUCCAAGUUGAAAAAAAAUAUUAAAAGCAGACCCUCUUGCCUGUUACAUAUCAAUUUUUUUUUUUUUUACAAAUACAGGUGUUUACUAAUCACGUGCAAUUUGAAUAGGAUUGAGUAUAAAGGAGGGAGAAUGUCAAUAUUUUUCAAUAGACAUUUUUGCAGCUCUAGCCCUUUAGUAGUUUUAUAUGAAAGAGACUCUUAUCAAGGAAUAAAAAUUUAGAAGUGGAAGAAGAAUUAUGAAAUCUUGUCCUGGUUAGGAAUGGCGUUUUCUAAUAACUUAACUUUAACCUUAGAAUAUGAUGUAACUUACUAACUUAAAGUGUGUCAUAAAACUCAGAUGAAUCUUACCUUCUUCAAAGAACUGACACAAUUUUAUUUUCCUUUUGUUCAGAUAUAUAUUUCGCAAGAUCACUGUGACCCUCUUGUUGGUUUUGAGAUUUCCAUCAGAAGGUGAUACAUUUUUAUUGACUGUGAUGAAAACUGUGCCCUGGAGUUGUGCAGUGUAUAACCUGUUAAACUGUACACAGCUCUGCAGUGUAUGUGCAUGUGUUAAAAAAAUAUAUUUAAGUAUUCUGAUUUCACUUGACAAUUAAAGCAUGUCUCUACUACUGGGAGACUAGGAGAUCCAGAAAUAAAGACUUGCCAGUUGUUAAGAGAAUUGGGCUUAAUUUAGCAUAAUGUAAAUAUUUUUUCUUUUACUUCUACCAUUUUGAAUACCUAUUCCUAGGACUAAUGUAGAAAUCUGUGAUGUUCUCAUAUGUCCAUAGUAAUUUUAUUUCCUGAAACAUUAUGAGUAACGUUGAUUUGUGGAUAACAUUAUACACAACAUAAUUUUUCCUUCUUGGAGACUGUUCGUCUCUCUUCAAGAGAGGAUCAGCUGGUUUAAAAAAGAGAGAAAUCAUAGUCAUUCUGCCAACUGGCUUUUAAAACUAGCCUAAAGAAGUGACUGAAAAUGUGAUGGAAACUGAGAUGUAUUGAGAGGACAGCAAACUCUAUCAUGAUGACCCGAAGCAGUGGAUCUCUUACGAGAAAUAAAAAUAAAUGAGGUUUUUAACAUAGGUGCUUUCAUCUAAGAUGUUUAAGUGAAGUACUGGAAGACAGUUAACUUCUUAGGAUGACUUAAUAUGAGCCAUUGUCAAUAACGGGAGCAACAUUAGCACCAACCAGAAGAGCUCUAACAUGAUUUGCAAGUGAUACGUUGUACUAUGGAUGUGAGAAAGCACAAGGCAGGAAACCGAUGUUGCCUGAAAUUAUGUAAUCCCACAGACCUUGGUUUUCUUAUAUAUAAAAUAAGGGAGUAAACUAGACCAAACUGGGGGUCUGCCAGCCUUAUUACAUGAAUUUUUCCCCUUAAGCCAAUAAUUUAUUGUCUUUCUUGAAGUUGAAAAAUACAUUUUGUAUUUUAAGACCUAUUCGCACAAUACCCUGAAGAGGGUUUCUGACUUUUAAGAAGCUCUGUAUCCUAGUAAGCAACAAGUCUUUAGUAAGCCAUAGCUGGGAUGUUGGCAACAUCCAUAUUCAGAAAAAUCUGUCCACCUAGUAGAACGUGGUUCCCUCCCUACCUAGGAGAAGACUGGCCUUGUGGUAAGAUUUAGAUGAAGACUUCACUACUGAGUCCAGAGGAAAUCUAAGUUCCAUUUCCAAGCUGCUUCUAUUAUUCAUCUCAUAAGUCUAUUAGAAAGAAUGUUGUCUCUUCCUUGGGGUCAUUCCUCCAAUGGAUUAGGAGACAUAUUCUGGUCUCACUAGAAUUCUUAAAAGAAGUCCCUUUUGAAAAAGGUAUGUGUCUUAACUGCUAUCACCCCUCUGAGAAGAGGUAAUUUCAAAUGAUUCCUGGGAAGCUCAGAGGCUCCUCUGCUGAUCUCUACUGCUGCCACUGUAGUGAGUUGCUAUUAUUCCUGUGAUGAGGUUGCCAUCUCUGGGGCUGCCAUAACAAAACACCACAAACUGGAUGGCUUAAACCAAGAGAAAUUUAUCGUUUCACAGUUCGAGAGGCUACAAUCUAAAAGGUGUUGGCAGGGCUAUUUCCUCCAAGACCUUUAGGAGAGCAUCCUUUCUUCUAGCUUCUGGGAGCCCCAGACAUUCCUUGGUUUAUGGCAGAAUAAGGCCAGUCUCUGACUUUAUGUUCAUAUGGCUGUCUUCCUUCUGUGUCUUGUGUCUUCACAUGAUCCCAUCUGUGUCUCUGUCCAAAUUUCCCUCUUCUUACAAGGGCACCAGUAUAUUGGAUUAUGGCCUACCCUAAUGACCUCAUCUUCACUUCAGUACAUUUAAGAAGAUCCUAUUUCUAAAAAAGGUUACAUUCACAGGUACAGGGCGUUAAGAUUCCAACAUAUCUUUCUGAGAGACAAAAUUCAACCCAUAAGAGCAUCCAUGAGUUUCUUCACUGCCAUUGUCACUAGUACAUAUUUCAGCCCCAUCUAGAGUCAUUAUGGAAGGAGGAAGGCAGUUUGUUUGUUUGUUUUUUGCGGUACGCGGGCCUCACUGUUGUGGCCUCUCCCGUUGCGGAGCACAGAAUCCGGACACGCAGGCUCAGCGGCCAUGGCUCACGGGCCCAGCUGCUCCGCGGCAUGUGGGAUCUUCCCGGACCGGGGCACGAACCCGUGUCCCCUGCAUCAGCAGGCGGACUCUCAACCACUGUGCCACCAGGGAAGCCCAGAAAGGCAGUUUUAUACUCAGCUUGGGCAAUGCAUGCCAAUUAAAGAGCAGAACAUUAGAAACCCAGACUUAACUCACUUAGCCUUUGUUCCAAAAACAACCUGCCCCUAGAGAGGCUGAGGGAGGAGAGCUCCCUGCGUCUCCAGCAUCCCAAACCCAGAUGCCCUGUUCCCUCUCAAUAGCUCAUCUCUUUCUACCAUUACAUAAUUUAGUUUAGUUUAAAACAAUUUCUCAAUUUUGGCUGAAAAUUAGCAUUUUUUCUUUCAAACAGCUCUUGUUUUUAGUGCCAUGCUGGCCUUCACAGCAGGUGAGUCUGGAUCCAGCUGACGUGCUGCUUCUGCUGGGUUUCUGUAAACCAUGGAGAUCAGGGUUUCUAAAUACUAUCUCCAUAUUUGCUCAAACUCAGACUUUCUUUACAGGCUUGAAGAGAUUGGGCAAGUCCUCCUCAGAGUAUUCCCCGACAGGUCUCUCCAUUCUGAUGUCUGAUUAUUUUACGCACUUUUCUCUUAUGCCGCCUGCAUUUCAUUGCUACACUCUUUCCUCUGAAUAGUCCAUUCCAACUCAUAUUCAUUUCUUUAAAAACUCCUAGCAUAGAAAAUGACUUAAUGUUUCGGAGGUCAAGCCCUUUCUACCUACCCAGGUAUAUGGCUGGAGUAGGAUUAGCUGUACGGUGAGACUUCAGCACUCAAAUAGGUAUUGGGGGAAAGUAGCUAUUUCAGUUGUGGUAAUUGAGCUGUU
ensembl:lncRNA